rnacentral:lncRNA from 1 species
UCGAGGUGCCGGAAAAGGUUUCCCUUUCUUAAAUUAACGCUUUAUCUGUGCCAAAGGAAGCUUUCACUGGGAUGUGGGCGAUGAAGAGAGCAGAUAUAGGAGGGCUGAGUGCACGUGAAUCCCAAACGCAGAGAGUCUCAGGUUGGCUGAAGAUUGCAAAUUUACCAGAAACUUUGCUGUUUUUGAAGAUGAGCGGGCUAGAGGAACAGUCAGAAUUAGUGGAGAUUCAACGUAUUUCCUCCAGGCCAGACUGCACCAGGAUAUAACCUGAGGAUGUGGGAGCCUACAACUUCAACAUUGUUGAGUUACCAUUGUGUGUCAAUGCCAAGAUUCCUGCCUUCUGCCCUGCCCCCAGCACUUCUGAUGCUGCAUUGUAUCAGCACACGCAGAUGAAUCUCAGACCACCCAGAGCUAAGAAACUUCUCUUCAGAAUGGUCUCAUUUGGAGACAUUGAGAGGAAUGGCUUCCCUUCCUUCGCUGGAUUUUAGCAUAUUUUGGAGCAAGGAUAGAUGACAGCUUUGAGAAGAUGAGUGUUGGUCAACAUGUCCCUGCAGGACCCCCUCCCCAGCUAUUUCUCUUUUUAGAAGAUAGAAGCCUUGGAUACCAGUGCUGGCUGCUCCUCAGCUCGGUCAGCCGCCCAAAGCCCUCCCAGGUUCCUGUGGGCACGCUGUCACAUUCACGUUUCACUGCUCUGGACUGCGAAAACAGCUUUUCACAAACUAAACAACCAAAAGCCCCGGACAAGUGUAUCUGAAUUUGUGAAGGUCUCUGGGAGUGUUUUAUUUCCUUUUCUUGAGCAUAGUUAUUUAAAAAUAAAUGGUAAGGACUUAUAAUGGCA